GAUGAACGCUGGCGGCGUGCCUAAUACAUGCAAGUCGAGCGAACGGACGAGAAGCUUGCUUCUCUGAUGUUAGCGGCGGACGGGUGAGUAACACGUGGAUAACCUACCUAUAAGACUGGGAUAACUUCGGGAAACCGUAGCUAAUACCGGAUAAUAUUUUGAACCGCAUGGUUCAAAAGUGAAAGACGGUCUUGCUGUCACUUAUAGAUGGAUCCGCGCUGCAUUAGCUAGUUGGUAAGGUAACGGCUUACCAAGGCAACGAUGCAUAGCCGACCUGAGAGGGUGAUCGGCCACACUGGAACGUGGACACGGUCCAUACUCCUACGGGAGGCAGCAGUAGGGAAUCUGCCGCAAUGGGCGAAAGCCUGACGGAGCAACGCCGCGUGAGUGAUGAAGGUCUUCGGAUCGUAAAACUCUGUUAUUAGGGAAGAACAUAUGUGUAAGUAACUGUGCACAUCUUGACGGUACCUAAUCAGAAAGCCACGGCUAACUACGUG
rnacentral:rRNA from 1 species